UAGUCCAUGCCGUAAACGAUGGAUACUAGUCGUCGGGACACCUAAUUGUUUCGGUGACGUCGCUAACGCUUUAAGUAUCCCGCCUGGGGAGUACGGUCGCAAGAUUAAAACUCAAAGGAAUUGACGGGGGCCCGCACAUGCGGUGGAUUAUGUGGUUUAAUUCGAAGCAACGCGCAGAACCUUACCUGGGCUUGAAAUCCGGAGAAUUUUUCAGAGAUGAUUAAGUGCCCUUCGGGGAACUCCGUGACAGGCGCUGCAUGGCUGUCGUCAGCUCGUGUUGUGAAAUGUUGGGUUAAGUCUCGCAACGAGCGCAACCCUCGUCCUUAGUUGCCAGCAUUAAGUUGGGCACUCUAGGGAGACUGCCUGGGUUAACCAGGAGGAAGGUGGGGAUGACGUCAAGUCCUCAUGGCCCUUAUGUCCAGGGCUACACACGUAAUACAAUGGCCAGUACAGAGGGAAGCGAACCAGCGAUGGGGAGCAAAUCUCAAAAAGCUGGUCUCAGUCCGGAUUGGAGU
rnacentral:rRNA from 1 species